UACGAAGGGGGCUAGCGUUGCUCGGAAUCACUGGGCGUAAAGCGCACGUAGGCGGAUCUUUAAGUCAGGGGUGAAAUCCUGGAGCUCAACUCCAGAACUGCCUUUGAUACUGAGGAUCUUGAGUCCGGGAGAGGUGAGUGGAACUCCGAGUGUAGAGGUGAAAUUCGUAGAUAUUCGGAAGAACACCAGUGGCGAAAGCGACGUGCUGGACAACCUACUGACGCUGAGGCGCG
rnacentral:rRNA from 1 species